CCCUAGGGUUGAUGCCGCGUAGGACCCUCGGCUUACUGCGUCCUGGGCACUGCGGCGCGUGCUUCGCAUACAGGAUCAUGAAUCCCCACGAGAACCAGCAGAGAAGGAACCUCUGUUUUUGUUCGGGAACCUGCCAGCUGUGGACUCACAGGAUGGAUGAGUCUUCCUGACAGUCAGCUUGAUAAUGGUGUGGAGGAGCACACUGGAUAGUAAGAGCACAGGCUCCGGACGCACAGGCUCAGCGGCCAUGGCUCAUGGGCCCAGCCGCUCCGCGGCAUGUGGGAUCUUCCCGGACCGGGGCACGAACCCAUGUCCCCUGCAUCGGCAGGCGGACUCUCAACCACUGCGCCACCAGGGAAGCCCUGCAAUGCUGUUUUUAGUGCACACUAAGAAUCUUGGCACCCCUUAGCUGACACCCACCUACAACAACUUGCAGCUUCUCUUUUCCUAGUUCCAUGACUCCCUGGCCAUGCUGCUCCCUCUGAGACCUUCUUCUUAGCCCCCAGAUCAUUUGUAGAAGUAUAUCCAGAAGAUGGACCCCGAAGGCAACUGUGGAGGCAGGAUUGCAUUUCUGUGUAAUCUGCUUGGGACUGCCAAGACCUUUGCUUUGAGCAAGAAGAGAGAUGGGUCAGGUUCCUGCCCUCCUCCCUCUACACUCUUUCCCAAGGAGAGAGUCCGCGGUUUGGGCUAUGUCUUCUAAGAGGCUGACUCAGAGUGUCUACCUUCAGCCCCGGUGUCCAUCCUCUGCUCCAUCUCCAAGUGUCCAUCAGAUAUUCAUCUGAGCAACGGAGACUCAGUGUGACUGAUGACAUAUCCAUCUUCUUGACCACGAACCAGCUCCCUCUGGGCACCCAGCUGUUCUAGUGAAUGACUCCAGCAUUCUUCCAGACAUGCCAGCUUGAAGCCGCUGAGUCAUACCUCACAUGUCCCUCUGUUGCAUUUCCCACAGCUGAUCAGUUAUCCAGUGGUUCCAAGUUAUUCCCCCAACCAGUCCUUUCCCACCCCCAUUCCUGCUGCACCCCUCCCCUGGUCAGGCUGCCAUCUACUCCAAUUUGGAGUGGCCUCCCUGCCUCCAGCCUCCCCCUUCACGACCAGCCAGGCCACCGUCCUUGUGCUCAUUGCUGUCCCUCAGCCGCUGCCCCCAGCUGCUCUCUCCAUCCACAGCACCCUCUCCUCUCCUCCACAAACUCUGUUCCAACCUAACUGGUCCCCUCGUGGUUCCCAGGACACUGCACCUUCCUGCUACCUGACCUUGGCUGAAGUGGUUUCCCUUGCCUAGAAUCCUUUUCUCCAUUCCAAGCUUUUACCUAAAUUCUAGCCAUCUUUCACGGUAUAUAAAAUCCCUGGCUGAGAUGUUAUAAGGCACGGGCGCCUAGAGCCCGUGCUCUGCAACAAGAGAAGCCACCGCGAUGAGAAGCCCCCGCUCACCACAACUAUAGAAAGCCCACGAGCAGCAACGAAGACCCAACGCAGCCAAAAAUAAAUAAAUAAAUUUUAAAAAUUAAAAAAAGAAAACAAACGUGAUGAGAAGGUGGGAAAAGUGGGGGAAGGGAGCUAAGUUGCUAGCAGUUUGCUAGAGAUGGAGGAUUUAGUUCACCUUUGGGGCAGACUUUUGCUUUGUUUCGGGAAAAUCAACACCAAUCUAAAACUGUGUUAUCACUGUCAGCGCGAAUGCAUAUGUUCACUGUUCUGGUUCAGCAAUGUAAAUAGCCGUGCCUUGGGAGACAGGGACUGCCUUUUCUCUCCUUUUUUUCCUAAGGUUUGAGGAAAAGAGUUGUGGAGGAAGUUGUGGACUGGUCCCUGUGGGGGUGACUAUUUUCAGCUGAAGUUUGGAGAGUCGCUUGCAAGAGAUGGCAAGCAAAGACUAGCAGGCUUCCUGAGGAGGCUGGAGAGUCCCUGGCACUGCUGCUGUGGGACCCAGGUGACACUUCUUGACACAGAGCUGGGGAGAAGCACACUCUAUCCGUGUCUGCAGCAUCCCUCUAGAACACUGGGGGCAUCCGAGGAGGCAGCAGCCACGGAUGCUUGAGGACUCCACAAGGACCAUCUCCAGCAGAAGCUCUCCUUUCAUGGGCCUCCGUAAGCCCCGCACGGUGACUGCUGUGGAUAGAUGGAUUUGUGACAUCAUUUGAGAUGCCCCACUGGGAGCUCCCAGAAGUAUUUGAGGGAAAUAUUGCAUGGAGUGCGGCUCAGUGUCAUUGUAACUCACUGUUAAAGUAGCAACAAAUCAUUUAUACCCUUGGCAGGUGAAAACUAAAUACACUAGAGAUAGACAUAAAACCAUACUACACUGUUAACCAUUGUUGCCUCUGGGUGCCAGUAUUCUAGAGAAUUCCUUUUCUUUAUAUUUUUAUGGAACUCUCCACAUUUUCCACUACAAGCAUUUGUAAUUAGAAAAACAAAAGCUAUGAAUAAGGAAUAUCUCUUUCCUUCCCCUUCCGGGCCCAGUGGAAGCCUCUGCUGCCUAAGGCUGCUGUGGUUUCUUCCCCUGCUGAACCCAGGCAGUGACUCUUGGGUGCAGAUCCGGGUUUAUUCCUUGUUUUAGGUACUUGUGCCAGCUCUGCAAGCUCCUUCAGGAGAAGGAACACAUCUCCUUCUACUCAGCCCUCCCCCAUCACUCACUCUGCUUGCAGGAGCUACUUCUCAGAACCUGCCUGGCCUGCUUCCACCCUUGGCCUUCAUACUCACUGUUCCAUCUGCCGGCACCCCCUCCUCCCUGGUCCCCCCCAGACAGCUUGUGGGCUUCCUGCUUCUCACCUUCAGUUUUGACUCAAAUGUCUCAACGAGCAGGCCAUUUAAAAUUGCACACCCUCCCAGCACUCUUUCCCCCUCUCCUGCUUCAUUUCUCCCUCCAACAUAGAUCUCCAUCUGACAUGCUAUGUAAUGUGCUUCUUUAUUAUGUCUCCUCGCACCGAUCUGUAAGCUCUAGACGACAAGGAUUUUUGUCUGUAUUGUUCUCUGCUGUAAGCUCACUACCAGGAUGUAUGCCUGGUAUGUACAGAAGAUAAGUGUUUGUUGAAUGAGUGAAUACAGUUUAUAAUAACACUAGUUACCGUGUACCAGAUCCUGUGCUAGGUGCUUAGUAAUUCCCUCAUUCCGUCGUCUUCACAGUGUUUUGAGGUACACAGCAAUACCUCUGUUGGAAAGACGAGGAAACCAAAGCUCAGAGGGUUAGCGAACUCAGGUGGAGGCACACACUCUCCCAUGGCAGAGCGGUGUGGAACGCAGAUCUGGCUGCCCCAGGGGCCAGGAGCUUUCCAGUGUAGGAGACUCCUUUGUCCUCAUGGUGGUCUCUCACUGUGCUGACACCCCUCUGCGUCUUGGGCACCAUUUAUUUCUCCCGCUGCAGGAACCACAGUGCUGGUGCCCUGAGCCAGCAUUGCUCCAAGUGGGCUCCUCUCCCAGUUUGCAUCCCUUCUGGUGACCCAAACCCUGCAAUCAGAGAAGCCAAAUUGUUCCUUCCCUGCCUCACUGCCUCUACUGUGGGCGCUCUAGGUUAUGGUAUAAAUGAGCAGGCCCACAGGUUUUCUUUCUUUCUCCUGCAGCCCCAUUCUCCCAAAGGGAGGUUGGUUGCUCCCUGAGAACCUUCUGCAGACCGGCAAGGUGGAAUUACAGCAAGAACCCAGGAGAUUCGGGUUCAUGCUCAGGAUCUGCGGCUCACUAGCUAUGCCAUGACUUUGGGCAAGUCUUUUAACUUGUGCAUUGACACAAUGAAAGGAAUUCUUCUUUCUUUGUGGUUUGCCUACAGUACUGUGAUGAUGGCAAAUGGAGAAUCUGUCUCAUGGGGGUGUUGUGUAGAUGCAUGAGCCAAUUUGAUUAUCAUACUUAGCACCGUGCCUGACAGAUAAGGCUUAAUAAUUGUUGGCUGAUCUUGUCAUCAGUCAUGAGUAGCCCGGGAACUGGCAGGGUUUGCAGUCAGCUGGUAGGAUGUGUCGUGGGUGUGGAUUGUAGCUAACCACUAACUCCAAUCACCCUCCAAUCUAAACUUUCCUAGAGCUUCAGUCCUCAGAGUUUAGAAUUCCUUGUUCAAGGUCACAUAGUCAUGACUUUUAUAAGGCCUUGAUUGGGACGCUUUUCAGAAUACCUAACCUCUUUAGUCAGUACACUAUAUUUCUGCUGGGAGGUAAUUGUUGCCAUCUCUGCUGGGUUACACAACUUGAGGAAUGAUUUGCACAAGCAUCAGUUACCACCAAGACCAAGGCAUGAGGCAUAAUUAUCUCAGGUGGAAGCUGUGAUUGAGCCUGUGCACUGAGGCCUGGUUUGCAGGGGCUACAAAUGAGCUACCACCUCCAGAGCGCUAUGUGCCUGCUAGAUGCUGGGGCUGUAAUUAACCGGAGCCUGUUUGCCAACACCCAUUCUCCAAGUUCCAGUGGGUCAAAAGUCCCGACUCUGGUGAACGUCAAGAUCCCUGCAGAGGGACUUCCCUGGUGGCGCAGAGGGAUUUCCCUGGUGGCGCAGUGGUUAAGAAUCCGUCUGCCCAUGCAGGGGACACAGGUUUGAGCCCUGGUCGGGAAGAUCCCACAUGCCUCAGAGCAACUAAGCCCUUGUGCGACAACUACUGAGCCUGCGCUCUAGAGCCCACGAACCACAACUACUGAAGCCCGUGCGCCUAGAGCCCGUGCUCCGCAAUGAGAAGCCACCUCAAUGAGAAGCCCACGCACCGCAACGAAGAGUAGCCCCGGCUCGCCACAACUAGAGAAAGCCUGUGCGCAGCUACGAAGACCCAAUGCAGCCAAGAAAAGAAAAAGAAAAAUCCCUGCAGUGUCUGUGGCUGAAUAGAGUGAGACCUUCCCAUUGUCUAAGGCUUCAUUUAUAGUUUUCAAGGGAAUUCCCUUUACUGGCUUUGCUAUCUAGUUGUGGUAUAGUACGUAUGAUUUGGAGUAAUCCAUCUGCCAUCAGUCCCCCGACAUCUCCUUGCUCUCCCACCCACAUGGUUUCACCCAGGAAGAUCUAGUUCUGUUUGUGCCUGAAGGGGAAGGAGACCAGGGAUCCAGGCCUUCCUUUUCUGUCAUGUGAAUGACCAUAAGCAACAGGAGAAUUCAUCUCUUGCCCUCACCAUGGCCAAUGUCUGCUCUACCCAUGGGCCCAGAGGCCACACUUUCAGUACUUCUGAGAAGUUGAUGAUGGCAUCUAUGAAAUGGGAGGUCUUUCAUCCUGAGGCAAGGGUACAAGUUCUGCCAGCCCUUUGUACCGUCUGGAAACAAUGCUGGGAAUCAUAUUUGCAGGUCCAGAAAUGUUAUUUGAUUGUUCCAUGGCAUGAAAGACUUAAUUUGAGGCUUAGUGGAGAGAGCAGACUAAAGAAGAUUUAGGAAACAUGGCCCACAAGGGCAAAAAGUGCUGAGUUUGAGUAAAAAUACACAUUCUACACGUAGUCAGCACUCUGACAACACUGGGGGUGGGCAGAGCUGGGACCAACGUUCACAGAUAAUUCUCCAACUUUAUUUUACCCUCCCACAGGCCAGGGUCUUGUCAUAAUUACCUUGCUUAUACAACCCUUGUUUGCAUCUCCAGAGAGACAGCCAUGUUUGGAAGAAAGAACACGAGUCCCCAAGUCUGAAAGGAGUCCCAAGAAGAAGGAAAUGUAAGAGAGUGAAAAG